UAGGGGAUGAUGGAAUUCCUAGUGUAGAGGUGAAAUUCUUAGAUAUUAGGAGGAACACCGGUGGCGAAGGCGGUCAUCUGGGCUACAACUGACGCUGAGGCACGAAAGCGUGGGGAGCAAACAGGAUUAGAUACCCUGGUAGUCCACGCCGUAAACGAUGAGUGCUAGAUAUCGGAAGAGUCUCUUUCGGUUUCGCAGCUAACGCAUUAAGCACUCCCCCUGGGGAGUACGGUCGCAAGGUUAAAACUCAAAGGAAUUGACGGGGG
rnacentral:rRNA from 1 species